AACGAACGCUGGCGGCAGGCUUAACACAUGCAAGUCGAACGAUGUAGCAAUACAUAGUGGCGCACGGGUGAGUAACGCGUGGGAAUGUACCAUUUGGUGGGGAAUAACUCCGGGAAACUGGAGCUAAUACCGCAUACGCCCUUCGGGGGCAAGAUUUAUCGCCAAAUGAUCAGCCCGCGUGAGAUUAGGUAGUUGGUGGGGUAAUGGCCUACCAAGCCGACGAUCUCUAGCUGGUCUCAGAGGAUGAUCAGCCACACUGGAACUGAGACACGGUCCAGACUCCUACGGGAGGCAGCAGUGGGGAAUAUUGGGCAAUGGACGAAAGUCUGACCCAGCCAUGCCGCGUGAGUGAUGAAGGCUCUAGGGUUGUAAAGCUCUUUCGCCGAUGAAGAUAAUGACGGUAGUCGGAGAAGAAGCCCCGGCUAACUUCGUGCCAGCCGCCGCUGUAA
rnacentral:rRNA from 1 species